rnacentral:misc_RNA from 1 species
AAUAAUAAUAAUAAUAAAAUGAAAGAGUAGUUGAAUUGGGCUUUUUAGAUGUGUUCACCAAUGGAAAUCCACGAAAGUAGAGCCCAAGUCCCGUGAGAGUUACUAGAGGAACAGAAGCGAGAGGGCUAAGGUGCCUUGCAAAAUAUUUCGCCAAACCAGAGAAACCAAUCACCAUUUGAAAGAUAGACGAAAUGAGACUCGCUCCUUGUACACGUCUCAUGAAUUGUUCUAACCUCUAAUCAUACCAUAUCAACUCAAUAAAAGGUGAUCAAAAUAUAUUCAAUCGUAGGAGGACAAGCACUCGAUUAUUGUUUGGCCAAUAAUAAAAAUACAAGUAUUGCAAUACAAAAGGGCAAAAUAAAUAUCCAUUAAUUGUCUAAGUAUGAAAUUUUGAUUUUUUUAUUUUGACUUUGCCCAUAUUUUAUAAAAAAAAUAUUAAAAAUUCAAUAAAAGUAAUGGUGAUAUUCCGUCAAAUUCAAACUCCUUGUCAUAUUUUUUUUAACAAAUUGAAAACUCACGAGAUUUUAUUUAAUUUAAAUUGAUUUAUAAUUUAUUUUAAUUCACAUAAAGCUUAAAUAUUAAUGAUUCAUAAAAUUGAGAUCAAUCCGAUAAUUUAAC